CACCACGCGGGCUGUGCUCCUCCUCUCGUACUCCAGCAGAUCUGUCCGCCAAGCAGGCCAUCCUCCUCCUCCCCUGUGGCAGCUCCCCUCUCCGGCCAUCCUCCUCCUCCUCCCCUACUGUCACUUCUCUGCCCGUGGCCGCCAUGGCCUUGCCCGAGCCGUCCGCCGCCAUUCCUGCUCCUCUUCCCGGCGUCCCUCCGUGCUCUCACGUCCCCCCUCCACUGCCUGCGGGAAGCAAUUCCUUAGGUCUUUAUUGUUCCUUGUCAUUUUUUGCAAACUUUCCUAACCCUAGUUAUAUGUUGUUGCAGAUCUUGCUGAAAAUUGGAUCCAUGUAGGCCGAUGUAAGGAGCUUCAACGCAACAAGACAUGCUUGAGGCAACACCUUAUUUCCCAGAUUUAGGAGUCACGCCGGCCCUACAUCCCUUCUUCUCUAACCAUGGCCAUGGCCCAUAGAGUUUGGGAUCUCGGCAGCCUACCCACUCCUCAAGGAUCCAUGGCGUGCAUGUGGUGCUACAGUCUAGACACCACCGUAUGCAGGGAGCUAUGCAAUCACCGGAAGCAGCUUCAAUGCAGUAAAAGCACAUGCCUUUGGGUCCCUGACAUGUAGGCCAGCCACCUGCUGGGCUCACAUGUCAUAGGCACAAAGGCAGGUGUCUUAAGGCACCGAAGGGCAGUCCGCAAUCACCACAGGCUCGCAGUCAGCGUAUUUUUUUAUAACCACGAGUAGUUUUUGUUAUGCAUCUCACACUUUUUUGUGAAGUCUGUACAUGAUCUAGUAUUUCUUGUUCCUGAAGGAAGUACUACUUGUUCCAGAAUUAUCAAAGGGCCUUGUUUUGGGUGAGAAAUUUGUAAAAAAUAGAUAGAACUUUGCGUAUUUAUGGAAUUGCUGAGCUAUGUUCAUCGAUCUGCACUUUCGGGUA